AGCCUCCCAAGUGUCCAGUCAGUGGAGUGACCGGACUAAUCCACCAGACAAACAACUCGGAAGAUUAACCUUUUUUUUUUUUUUUCCAGCCUCGCGAAACUAGUUUUUCUUUUUGUCACGGCACCCGGAAGCCUGUUUUGUAAAAAUCCUGAUCAUUUUGUCACAUGGCUUUGGAGAAUUCAAUAACAACAAAAAAUGGCGACAAUCACGUUGCUCUGUGUGGUCUUGCUGCGUCAUUAAAAAUAUUCAUGUAAACACGGGGAAUUGAACGGGAAAAUUGUAGUGGCCUGUGCAGCGGGGCUAAUGGAGUUGUUUACAAGAAGUGCGGAGGGCGGACUGACGACGAGGAGGAGGAGGAGGAGGAGGAGGAGCCGCUACGUCGGCCAGCAACGCGACCUGACUGCUGGAGAGGGUUUCUCGCGCCGAGGGGGGCGGAGCGCGCGAGGAGGAUCAUAACAAGUCUGACGUCACUCGGCCUUGUGUCUGGUUUACAGCAUUUAAGUCCUAUGUCAGAUGGAUUUCCAUGCAACGCCCGUAUAACUGGGUGAUGAGAAAGAGUCUACAACGUGCAGACGGGUGACCAAAAGAAGGAAAAUCAAUAUGAACUGUCUUGGUAAGGGGUUGGGCCACCACAGGCCGCCAGAACAGCUUCAUUGCACCUUGGGAUUGAUUCCCCAAGUCUCUGGAACUCGGCUUGAGGGAUGAACACCAUUCCUCCAAAAGAUAUUCCCUUAUUUGGCGUUUUGAUGGUAGUGGUGGAGAGCGCUGUCUAACACAUCGGUCCAGAAUCUCCCGUAAGGUGUUCAACCGGGUUGAGCUAUGGUGACUGUGAAGGCCACAGCCUAUGAUUCACAUCCUAUUCAUGCUCAUCAAACCCUGCAGUGAUCCCUCGUGCCCUACGGACGGGGGCGUCGUCAUAGGGUAAAGGUGAUCACUCAGAACUACUUUGUAUUGAUUUCCAGGGACCCUUCCCUCUAAGGGGGCCAAGCGGACCCAAACCACGCCAGCAAAAUGCCCCCCCACAGCAUAACAGAGCCUCUGAUGUCCUUCCCAUAGAUGUGAAUGAAGAUGUCACUUUGGUCACUGCUCCUAUUUAAAAACGAGCCAGAUGAGCAGACUUUGCGACUGAAGCUCCUGCCGCCCGCCCCCAGACAAUGAACCCUCUUUCAAAGUCACUUAGAUCUUUUCAUCUUGCCACCUUGAUGCCAAAUCGGAAUCAACUGGGCCUGCUCAGCAUUUUUAUACAGGCCACGGAGCGUGAUCGGAUGCUAUAAUGCAGUGCACCUGCGUGGAAGCUUCUGCAUUCGUUAUGUUGCUCCACUCGUUUAUUCAGGUUUUUCCUUAGCUGUGUAAUGUUAAUGCCUGUUCAGAGCAAUGGCCUGAUUUAAGUGCAUGUGGGGCCUUAUUGUUAAAACCUCCGAUACUCACUGCUGAGCCACUUUCACCAAAUCUAGACUUUUUUGACAGUAACAAUAGGAUGUAGUAUAAAGGGAUGCUAGAUAAUGAGGAUUCUUUGAGCCCAUGGCAGCUUAAGGAUUGAUUUAUUGAUCAACACGUUUCCCUAGUUUGUUGUGUAGUUCUCACAUUCGUUAUUCCUGGUAAAACUAUGACAUAUAUUUUAUGUUUUGUACCCUAUUAUGUACCCUUUAUUUUCUAAUGGUCUUAUUAAAUUUCCCCAAAAUGUUAUACAAUUUAAAAUGUAAAGAUCCCUUGGUUAGAGGGCAUAAGACUUGUUGGUUACCAUUGGUUUGAAGGAUUUUUAAAAAAAAAACUAAUGUAUUCAAAUGAAGGAUUGAUAGAUUAUAUGACUAUAUUGCUGGGUCGAUUGAUCUGUUAUACUUUGGGCUAAUGUGUGUUAUUUGAAAAUUAUUUAUGUAAAAACAAAUUAAAUGCUGAAGAUACAACUUGCACAUGUUUUGUGCGCGAUACCACCAAAUGAGUUGCGUAAAUGCAAGAGGAAAACGUCUCUGUAUUUGCACCUGUUGACCUCGAGCAUGGAUAUUGGAUAGUGGAU